rnacentral:rRNA from 1 species
CCUACGGGUGGCAGCAGUGGGGAAUAUUGGACAAUGGGCGAAAGCCUGAUCCAGCCAUGCCGCGUGUGUGAAGAAGGCCUUCGGGUUGUAAAGCACUUUCAGUGGGGAAGAAAGCCUUGGGGCGAAUACCCUCGUGGAAGGACAUCACCCACAGAAGAAGCACCGGCUAACUCCGUGCCAGCAGCCGCGGUAAUACGGAGGGUGCGAGCGUUAAUCGGAAUUACUGGGCGUAAAGCGCGCGUAGGCGGUCUGAUAAGCCGGUUGUGAAAGCCCCGGGCUCAACCUGGGAACGGCAUCCGGAACUGUCAGGCUAGAGUGCAGGAGAGGAAGGCAGAAUUCCCGGUGUAGCGGUGAAAUGCGUAGAGAUCGGGAGGAAUACCAGUGGCGAAGGCGGCCUUCUGGACUGACACUGACGCUGAGGUGCGAAAGCGUGGGUAGCAAACAGGAUUAGAUACCCCGGUAGUC